GCUUCGGUUGCAUGGUGGUUAGAGCAUCCGUCUCGGAUGCGGUAAUUCGUGGGUUCGAAUCCCAGCCGAGUCA